rnacentral:tRNA from 1 species
CUUAGCUCAGCUGGAUAGAGCAACGGAUUUCUAAUCCGUAGGUCGCAGGUUCGAGUCCUGCAG